UACAGAGGUCUCGAGCGUUGUUCGGAUUCAUUGGGCGUAAAGGGCGCGUAGGCGGCGGGGUAAGUCUGGUGUGAAAUCUCGGGGCUCAACUCCGAAAUUGCACUGGAUACUGCUCUGCUAGAGGGCUGGAGAGGAGAUCGGAAUUCACGGUGUAGCAGUGAAAUGCGUAGAUAUCGUGAGGAAGACCAGUGGCGAAGGCGGAUCUCUGGACAGCUCCUGACGCUGAGGCGCGAAAGCGUGGGGAGCGAACAGG
rnacentral:rRNA from 1 species